AAUAGAUACCCAGGUAGUCCAUGCCGUAAACGUUGGGCACUAGGUGUGGGGCUCAUUCCACGAGUUCCGUGCCGCAGCAAACGCAUUAAGUGCCCCGCCUGGGGAGUACGGCCGCAAGGCUAAACUCAAAGGAAUUGACGGGGGCCCGCACAAGCGGCGGAGCAUGCGGAUUAAUUCGAUGCAACGCGAAGAACCUUACCAAGGCUUGACAUGCACGGGAAGCCACCAGAGAUGGUGGUCUCUUUGGACACUCGUGCACAGGUGGUGCAUGGUUGUCGUCAGCUCGUGUCGUGAGAUGUUGGGUUAAGUCCCGCAACGAGCGCAACCCUCGUCCCAUGUUGCCAGCGGGUUAUGCCGGGGACUCAUGGGAGACUGCCGGGGUCAACUCGGAGGAAGGUGGGGAUGACGUCAAAUCAUCAUGCCCCUUAUGUCUUGGGCUUCACGCAUGCUACAAUGGCCGGUACAAAGGGCUGCGAUACCGUAAGGUGGAGCGAAUCCCAAAAAGCCGGUCUCAGUUCGGAUUGGGGUC
rnacentral:rRNA from 1 species